rnacentral:rRNA from 1 species
UACGGGGGGAGCAAGCGUUGUUCGGAAUUACUGGGCGUAAAGGGCGCGUAGGCGGUACUUCAAGUCAGGCGUGAAAGCCCCGGGCUCAACCUGGGAACCGCGCUUGAGACUGGAGAACUAGAGUUCGGGAGAGGAUGGUGGAAUUCCCAGUGUAGAGGUGAAAUUCGUAGAUAUUGGGAAGAACACCGAUGGCGAAGGCAGCCAUCUGGACCGACACUGACGCUGAGGCGCGAAAGCGUGGGGAGCAAACAGG